rnacentral:rRNA from 1 species
UACGGAGGGGGCAAGCGUUGUUCGGAAUUACUGGGCGUAAAGGGCGCGUAGGCGGCCUUCUAAGUCGAACGUGAAAUCCCCGGGCUCAACCCGGGAACUGCGUCCGAGACUGGAAGGCUUGAAUCCGGGAGAGGGAUGUGGAAUUCCUGGUGUAGCGGUGAAAUGCGUAGAUAUCAGGAGGAACACCUGUGGUGUAGACAGCUUACUGGACCAUCACUGACGCUGAAACACGAAAGCGUGGGUAGCAAACAGG